UUAAUACACCAUAGUAUGAUGAGGAGGCAUCUCCUUAUCAUUAAAGUUCCGACAGUUAAAGAUGAGCAUGCGUGACAUUAGCUAGUUGGUGAGGUAACGGCUCACCAAGGCCACGAUGUCUAGGGGAUCUGAGAGGAUUAACCCCCACACUGGUACUGAGACACGGGACCAGACUCCUACGGGAGGCAGCAGUAAGGAAUAUUGGACAAUGGUGGCAACACCUGAUCCAGCCAUGCCGCGUGAAGGAUGAAGGCCCUAUGGGUUGUAAACUUCUUUGUACGGGAAAAACCUUCUUACGUGUAAGAAGCUGAUUGUACUGUAAGAAUAAGGAUCGGCUAACUCCGUG
rnacentral:rRNA from 1 species